CCCUUAGAUGUUCGGGGCCGCACGCGCGCUACACUGAAGGACUCAGCGUGUCUCUCCCCCUAUCCCGAAAGGGAUGGGCAACCCGUUGAACCUCCUUCGUGCUAGGGAUUGGGGUUUGCAAUUAUCCCCCAUGAACGAGGAAUUCCCAGUAAGCGCGAGUCAUCAGCUCGCGUUGAUUACGUCCCUGCCCUUUGUACACACCGCCCGUCGCUCCUACCGAUUGAAUGCUCAGGUGAGCCAUUCGGACUUUCAUCAUGCUGGUUUCCAGUUUUGAUGAAGGAAAGUCUUGCGAACCUUAUCAUUUAGAGGAAGGAGAAGUCGUAACA
rnacentral:rRNA from 1 species